rnacentral:rRNA from 1 species
AUUGAACGCUGGCUGCAGGCUUAACACAUGCAAGUCGAGCGAGCGGCGGACGGGUGAAUAAUGUAUGGGGACUGCCCGAUAGAGGGGGAUACAUACUGGAAACGGUGGCUAAUACCGCAUACUGUCGUCGAACCCAUCUGGUAUUAGCUAGUAGGUAAGGUAAUGGGUUACCUAGGCGCAGCGCCCUAGCUGGUCUGAUAGGAUGAUCAGCGACACUGGGAUUGAUACCCGGCCCAGACUCCUACGGAGGUAGCAGUGGGGAAUAUGGCACAAUGGUGGCAAUCCUGAUGCAGCCAUGCCGCGUGUAUGAAGAAGGCCCUAGGGUUGUAAAGUACUUUCAGUCAGGAGGCGUUACCGACAGAAGAAGCACCGGCUAACUCCGUGCCAGCAGCCGCGGUAAUAC